rnacentral:rRNA from 1 species
AAUUUUGGACAAUGGGGGCAACCCUGAUCCAGCCAUGCCGCGUGUGUGAAGAAGGCCUUCGGGUUGUAAAGCACUUUCGGCCGGAACGAAAUCGCGCGGGUGAAUAUCCCGCGUGGAUGACGGUACCGGAAGAAGAAGCACCGGCUAACUACGUGCCAGCAGCCGCGGUAAUACGUAGGUGGCGAACGUUGUCCGGAUUCACUGGGCGUAAAGCGCGCGCAGGCGGACUGAUAAGUCAGAGGUGAAAUCUCCCGGCUCAACUGGGAGGGGCCCUUUGAUACUGUCAGUCUUGAGGCACCUAGAGGAGAGUGGAAUUCCCGGUGUAGUGGUGGAAUGCGUAGAUAUCGGGAGGAACACCAGUGGCGAAAGCGACUCUCUGGGGGUGACCUGACGCUGAGGCGCGAAAGCGUGGGGAGCAAAC